GAAAGCACUCACUUUUUUUUUCCGAGGAAGAGAGAAGGAAUCAUCAUAUGAACUUGUCCCAAAGACCAAUGAGCAUGUGUGAAGUCAAUGUCUUCUUGCUACAAGGAAAACAAAAUACAUAAGCAAUUAAGCAUCACUUUCUGAACCUACUGCUACUACUUCCUUUACCUUCAUUGCAAACAAUCAUCCACUACUUUCCUUGUUUUCUUUCUUCUAAUCUUGAGAUCAACAUGGCUGCAAGAUUUGUGGGAGAAGCUUUUCUCAACUCUGCACUUGGCACUAUCUACGACAUGCUGAUUUCACCCUUACUUGUCAACUUCAUCCAGCGAAAGAAGCUUAACCGGAAGCUGGUUGAGAAGCUGGAGACAGUUCUGAAGGCUGCUCAUGCUGUGAUCAAUGACGCCGAGCGGAGGCAGAUCGAAGAGGAAGCUGUGAAGGACUGGCUGGACAGGCUGAAGUAUGCUGUGUACGAUGCUGAAGACAUACUUGAUGAAGUCACCACCAAAGCUGCCAUUCAAAAGGUUCAAGGUAACUCUCUGUCUCGCUAUGUCAAUUUGCAUGGUGAUGGUGAGAUAGUAACCAAGAUAGAAGAGAUCAUUGAUGCAUUAGAGUCAAUUGUAAAUGAGAAAGAUGGUCUUGGCUUGAAGGAGAUACCGGUGGAGGACAUGUCAUGGAGGAUCCCCUCAACAUCUCUGGUUGGUGUGCAUCAAAUAUAUGGCAGGGACCAAGACAGGGAGGCCAUAGUAAAACUGUUGUUAGAUGUUACCAAUGACGGUGGAAUAUCCGUGAUUACUAUGGUCGGCAUGGGUGGAAUAGGAAAGACUACUUUGGCUCAGAUAGUUUACAAUGAUGACCGAGUGAAACAAAAAUUUGAUGUUAAGGCAUGGGUUUGUGAUGGGCAAGAAGAAUUUGACGUUCUUAAGGUGACAAAGGCUGUGAUGGAAGCAACUUCUAGUUCUUGCAGCUCAACUGAGUUAAACACAAUUCAGGAGAGCUUGAAGAAAGUCCUAGCAGGGAAGAAGUUGUUGGUUGUUUUGGAUGACAUGUGGAGAAACAAUUAUGAUGCCUGGAUAAGUUUUCUAAAGCCUUUUAAAUCUAGUAACGGGGGUGUUAAGAUUCUUGUAACAACUCGUCUUGAUUCGAUUGCUGAUAUGGUGAAAACUAUUCCAACUUUCCGUUUGAGUUUGUUGGGUGAUGAUCACUGCUGGUCAGUGUUUGCAGAUCAUGCAUGUCUUAAUUCUGUUGAAUCCCAUAUCCGUUCUGCUUUAGAAGUAGUUGGUCGAAAAAUUGUCAAAAAGUGUAAUGGGUUAGCUUUGGCUGCUCAAACACUUGGAGGUUUAUUAAGAGCAAGAAAAGAAGUAGCGGAUUGGGAGUUUAUAUUGAGGAGUGAAAUUUGGGAACUUCCCAAAAAAGAUAGUGGGAUUCUUCCUGCAUUGAGAAUCAGUUAUCACUACCUCCCCUCGUACUUAAAACGUUGCUUUGUUUAUUGUUCUUUAUUCCCAAAAGACAAUGAAUUCAAAAGAGAUGAACUGGUGUUAUUGUGGAUGGCAGAAGGUCUUUUGCAGCGACCAAAGAGUGGCAGCACUUUAGAAGAAGUUGGUUCUAAAUAUUUUAAUGAUUUGGUUUCCAGAUCAUUUUUCCAACAUUCUAACACUGAUGAAAAUUUAUUUGUGAUGCACGAUCUCAUGCAUGAUUUAGCAAUAUUCUACGGUGGAAAGUUCUUUUUGAGAAACUUUGAACUCAAAACUGCAGACAAGCAUGAUGCUUGUCCUCGUCAUUUUUCAAAUGGUCUUGUAAUCGAUGAUUCGUUAUUCUCAGAGAUUUCGGAAGUACGUGAUUGUUUAAAAAAUACAAGGACAUUGCUGGAUAUCAGUUUUAAAACAUGCAAUGGUUACACAGAGGAAAUUGAUCCUUGUCGCUUACUUGCACAGUUGAAGCACGUACGGGUUUUGUCAUUUAAAUCCCUUCCUCCUGAUGAGCUUGAUUCAAUAGGUGAUUUGAUCCAUUUGCGUUAUUUGGAUCUCUCUUAUUCAUCUAUCGAGACAUUGCCAGAGUCAAUGUGCAAAUUUUAUAAUUUACAAACACUGAAGUUGAAUGAUCGUGAUCGUCUAGAAAAGCUUCCAAACAACAUGCAGGAUCUUGUAAAUUUACGUCAUUUGGAUCUCUCUGGUACGUCUAUUGUGGAAUUACCCGAGUCAUUGAGCAAAUUGUAUAAUUUACAAACAUUAAACUUGAGUGCUUGUGAAGAACUAAAAAAGCUUCCAAGCAAGAUGCAAGAUCUUGUAAAUCUGCGCCAUCUCGACAUUGAAGAUACUAAUUUAGAAGAGAUGCCAAAAGGGAUGAGCAAAUUAAAAGAUUUGCAGAUUCUGAGUUACUACAUUGUUGGCGAGCAUGAAGAGAAUGGGGUAGGAGAAUUGGGAGAACUUGUAAAUCUUCAAGGGUCAUUUCAUAUUAGGAAAUUAGAGAAUGUCGUUAAUAGCAGUGAGGCUUGGAAAGCAAGGAUGUUUGAUAAGAAACACAUCAAUGAUCUAAGGUUGCAGUGGAGAUCAGUUGAAUAUGGUGAUAUUGUUGAUUCCGAAAUCGAAAAAGAUGUACUUGACAAAUUACGUCCUCACAAAGACUUGAAGAAGCUAUUCAUCUGGUGUUACAGAGGUACGAUGUUUCCGGAUUGGGUAGGGCAGUGUUCGUACCACAACAUGACUUGGUUGGAGCUGAGGGGAUGCAGGAAUUGUUGGGUGGUUCCUUCACUUGGACAGUUACCCUCUCUGGAGAGGCUGGUCAUUAGAGAGCUCGACAAGGUGAAGAAGAUUGGUGGGUCAUUCUAUAAGGGUGAUGGAACUCAUCAGCAUCAGGAGACACCCUUCCGAUCCCUUAAAUAUCUGACUAUUGAAAAACUGCCUUGCUGGGAGGAAUGGGAGUCAUAUGAAUGUGAUGAUGAUGAUGAUGCACCAUUUCCGAAACUUGAGACACUUGAGAUAUGGGAUUGUCCUAAGUUAAGAGGAGAUUUGCCCACUUUCCUUCCGUCUUUGAAACAAAUUUACAUUUCAGGAUGCGAGGAGAUUGGUUGUUAUCUGCCAAGAGCUCCCAUCCUACGCUCAUUAAGAAUAGAUGGCAAACAGGAAGCAAGAAUGCGGGAGCUACCACUUUCCAUGUUGGAGACACUAAUCGUUAAUGGAGAGCAGCAGGUGGAGUAUGUGUUUGAGGCCAUGACCCACACCCAACCAACCUCUCUCAGUUCUUUACAAAUCUCAAAAUGCUCAUCAGUGGUAUCAUUUCCAGGGGAUGCUUUGCCCCCUUCGUUGAAACAGUUGAGCAUAUACGAUUGCAAGAACGUAGAAUUCCCAAUGCAACACCAUCAACAUCACUCGCUACAGAGAUUAGAAAUACACAACAGCUGCAAUUCGCUUACAUUCUUCGCAUUGCCAGCGUUCCCAAAUCUCGAUUAUCUUAGCAUCAAAGAACUUGAAAAUUUGACAUCUCUGGAGCUGUCACAGUCACAGUCCCUCCUAAGAUUAUCAAUUUCAGAUUGCCCUAAGCUGGAGAACAUAAUAAGGCUGCCUGCCUGUUUAAGGGAACUCAAAAUCAGAGAAUGUGGGUUGUUGGGUGAAGGCAUAGAGAGGAAGGACCCCCACAUUUGGCCAUCCAUUUCCCACACCCCUACAUUUAAAGUUGACGGGAAACAGAUUCGCAAUGACUCAACAUCUUAAAACAGGAACCAUCUCAGAAGGAGUAUGCAUGAUUCUGCCCUUGACAAUUGGUAAUUUUGUGGACAAAUUUGUGAUUUUAGGAUAAAAAGCUUUUUUGGGCUGCCUGGACCAACUUCCUCUUGCUCUUUGCUUAUCCAUACUGCUUUUCGCCCGUUUUAAAUUGAGAAUUGUUGCUAGGGUACAUCAAACAUGUCACCCAUUCCACCAUAUGGCUCUAUCAAUUCAGAUUCCACUUGGAUGGAAGGAAAUAGGAGAUGUGUAACCACUGAGCAGCCCUUUCUCUCUCUCUUUUGAACGUUGGGAAUAACCUACAAACUUUGUGCAUUCAGAUUUGUUCAUAAAAUUGAUAAUUUUGACUGCUUAGCUGAGUCCAUUACUGAGAUACUCUAUGCCAUUUGAUUUAGAAUUAUGUUUUUCUAUCUUUUUUUUGCCAAGUAGAUUACUUUUCUGUAUGACUAAGUGGCUUUGGUUGAUUCAGUACUCUGUCACACCAUGGGAUUUAUAGCAAUAAUUGAGUAAAUUCAAGUUCCUUUUUGGCAA